UCUCCCCAGCCCCUCUCUCUCCCCAGCCCCUCUCUCCCCCCAGCCCCUCUCCCCAGCUCCUCUCCCCCGCCGGGGCCCGGGGCAGCCCCGAGGCCCGCAGACACACGUGAGGCGCGGGAACGGGCCGGGCCGGGCUGAAGCGCGGCGGCGGGGGGGCCCGGCGGCAGGGGAGCCCGGCGGGAUGCGUUCCCCUCCGCGGCCUGGGUAUGCUGAGGCCGGCACAAGCCGCGGGAGGUGACAGCCCCCCCACCGCAGUGACCCCCAAGGCUGUGUCUGCCGAGCUGUGUCAGCUUCUCCCAGGAGGGAGCGACUUCAAUAGUCCCACUGGAAAAUGCACCAGCAAAUUUAUUGCUACAGGCCUUUCCCAGCCUUUCCAGCCACUUGUUUCCAGGCACCGUGUUUGUUCACGGAAGCUGGAGCCCCACUCCAUGAAAUGGAAGCAUCUCAUCGUGUAUACAGCCCUCUGGGAGCAGCUUGGCUUCUUGAAAGAGUAUCUGCAGUGUAUCUUGAAAAUCAAAAGUGGGUGUAUAUCUUGUCAUGUGCAACGAUGAAGAUGAUAAAAGCAGACCUGCAGUGACAUCAGCCAGCUCCCACAGCACUUCUGGAUGUGUCCCAUCAGGUCCCAUGGACUUUUUGAGUCUACACUAUGUCACUGAUCCAGUCAGACCAGGUGGAUACAUGAUAGCUUUGGAGAAAUUUAUAUGGGCUGCAGAAAUCAUCUGCCUGCCAACCCUGUGAGAACUACACAAGAGAACAAUUCCAGACAUUGCUCAUUUCUGCAAAUGGAAGGAGCUGAGCUUUCCUGAGAAGACAGAAAUGGAUGGGAACUCUUGCUAGGGGCACAUGGUUACUGAAGGCUGGACCUCUUCCUUCCAUUCAUGCAGAUUCCCAGAUUCUGGAGACGGCAGUGAAAAUUCUGGAAGGCCUCCCUAGUCCAGCCUUGUACUGCUAUGAUUUCAUACAAGUAACAGAGCUAAACAUGCAGAAGAAGGACACCCAUCCUCCGUGUGAGUAAAGAAAGGCCAGUCUGAAUGAGAAAAUAACAGAGAGCCACCUGAAUUGAUGAAUCCAUCUAAAAUACAUAGUUAAAUGCAAAAGCAAUGUCUGGUUCCAUUGCUUUAAAAUGGCUCUGUCAUGGGUUAACAUUUUAGGAGAGCUAUUUCUCAUUUUACCUGAUUAUAUAUAUGGUACAGUUUAGUGAGUUAUCAUAGCUAAAAUGAUGUCAAGCCUAGAGUGAAGAAGACCAAGACCAACCAUCUGGGCAUUAUUAACACUGUUAUCAGCUGCACUGGCCAGAAAAGCUCAGUUAGCUUUAGACCUGUGCUCCCUUUACUGUCCACUUACAAUGUCAUACAUCAUUUUGUUGCCUGGGUCUCUUCAGAUAGAGAACAAAUAUUCAGAGAGAGAAUACUCCUAGGUAUAGUAUAAGGGUUCUUUAAAGACCAUCAUAGAGGUGAUUUAAAAAAAUGCUGGUUUCACUGAUUGCAAUCAAAGCCAGGUAGCAAUGAAGUCACUGCAAGUUUGAUCUUUGUGUAAACUUCCUUGAAAAGGUACAUGAAGUCUGACAUAAGCAGUCAGCUUUUGCAAUCACUUCUAAAUCCCCCAAGAUCUUGAGCUAAACGUGAGAAUGAGGGAAAUCAGAAACUUGUUCAUAUCUAGUCUGUCUCUCUGCCUACACCUGUGAUUUUGUCCUUCCUACCUGUUUAGGUUAAAAAAAAACAACAAAACUUCAAAUGUCUUCAAAAAUCACUGCUGGAUUUGAAAUUCAAUGUCAGUGGGUAAUCUGUCUUCUUUGGCAUUGUUUAGCUAAGAAAAUAUUACUUUGGAAGAGAAAUACUUUCCUUGGCUCUGAUUCCAAGAUCCUUUUCCUAAGUAGUACCUGUCCUUAUAAAAGACACUGGUACUGAACAAACAAACCAUUUCAGAAGCUGCCCAUUAAUUCCAGCAGAUAUUCUUAACUCAAGGCUCUGACAAAUGGCUGUAUGAGACCAGUUACAUGCAACUUCUAUCUCCUAAUCAUUUCCAGCCUUCUAAUUCUAUAAACUUUUUUUUGUUGGAACAACGUUAGACAGGAACUCCCAGAAAUCAGCCGUUUUCCAUACUCCUCUCCAGAAGCAUUUCUCACUCUUAAUGAAUGAUCCCAAAGCAUACACACAUUCCUGUUUAUAGUGAGCAGCAACAGCUUUUCCUGCUUGGAAAAAACUGUAUCCCCAUGGAAGCUGUUCAAAAGCAGGUGUAGCUUCUUCUACCCGUAAUAACCCUCCCAAGUUGGCAGAAGAAGAGGCACUUUUCAUUACCACAGAUUUCACAUCAGAUAGGGGUGGAAAUUUGUUUUGUUUCAGGCACCCACUCAAGCAGAGUCCUGACCCAUCCAAGUACUGCAAACCCUGUUUGCACACAAUUACCAAAAGCUGCAUAAAUGUCACUUUUCUGUUAAAUGCAUUAGUUUCAAGUGGUGUUUCCGUAACAAAUGUCUUUGAGUAAACACUGCACCUUUC